UCCUUGGCAACACUGACGCUUGUUGAUGACAGACGCUACAACAUGUGCACAUGACAGACACACAACUGGACAUAUUUCAGCAAAUAAACCGACAUACAGUCCGAUAACAUGCGGGAAUUGAGUGUCAUUUAACUUCUCGAAGGAAUGUGUUUGGACCAUUACAUCCAGUCAUCAGAAGCAGAGCUGUGGGACGUGUGGACAGACAUUGACUGUAAUGAUGGACUUCUGCUGAUGGACAGAAGGAAUGUGUUUGGACCAUUACAUCCAGUCAUCAGAAGCAGAGCUGUGGGACGUGUGGACAGACAUUGACUGUAAUGAUGGACUUCUGCUGAUGGACAGACAGACUCCAGCUUCUCUACAUAGGACAAGUGUUUGGAGAAUCCUGGAUGGAGAGCAGGCAUGUGUGCAUGAAACCAGAGACCAGAUUAAUGUGUUCAUGUACCCCACCUUGUGGACACUAAGUGUAUCUGCAUUAAUAUAUGAAAACAGCAUGAAGAGGAAAGAGAUUUAAAAAAAGUCCCUAAUCCUGCUCCUGACGAGCCACUUUCCUGAGUUUAUCUCCAACCCUGUAAAAAAAACGCUCUAGCAGCUGAACAAUAAAUUGUUUUAAUGAAUGCUGUUGCUAAACUAAAAAAACAACCACAAUGAACCAUAUCAAACAUCACAAAUGCCGUGGCUCAGUGGCUAAUCAUUUGUCUUUCAUUCAGUUCUUGGUCCAAAUCCCACAGUUGCUAAUAUUUUUAUCACAGAAAACAAAGCCCUCAAUAAACUCAAAAGAGUUCAAUAAAUAAAUGGUUGCGUUUGAAUCUUAGAUUGCCUAUGUUAAAAUGCAUAUCCAACAAACUGCACCAAACAACAGAUGAUAUUGUGAAAGCCACGAUGGUGCGGUGGUUAAACACAACACAUUUUCCAACUCUUCCUAAUCAAUCACACCUGAAUCGACUCAUCAGCUCGUUAGUAGAGACUCCAAAACCAGACAUAUAUGGGUCAGAUAAGAAAGACGUCGAGGGUGUGCAAUGUUGGUGUGGCUCUUGGAACAGGGAUCUCUUGGUUUGAGCUGCUGGAGGUCAUGAGGAAAAGCAGUGAGUGACUUUGCAUGGAGUAUUUUGAGAGGAGCAACCGCCGAACUGUUAUGCAUCUGAGCCUUUUCCUGACUCAACCUGUUUCUGUUUUGAACUGGCAUGUUUUUGACAAUGAUCUACUUAAGUUUGUGUCCAAUAAAAUGGUAAAUGUGA